UGUUACACAUGAUGGCAAAAAUUUCAUGGUUAUUCGAAUUGUAAUUUAUUUGCGCGUAGCUAAUGAUAUAUUUAAAACGUAUAUAAAGACACUGAAACCUUUAAAGACAGCAUACUGCCGAGCUGUAAAGUGGAAAACAAAAAUGAAAACUUUUUGUGUUCUGUUUUUGUUUGCGCUCGUAAUGUGCUCGCUAUCCGUUAGCGAAGCACGUACUCGUAGUAUUGGUGAUAAUGCAGGUAACGAAGCACUGAAAACAGACCUGGCGCCAUACCGAUGCCUCGACAGUGAUCAGUGUAGAAUCGUCUGUCAACGAACCACUAUACACGCGCUUCAAGCCCUCUGCUACGGCGAUACCUGCUACUGCCAACCUGGACAUUCUUAAUGGUAGUAUUAAUUGUAAUACACAAAAUAAACGGAUAGCAGAUUU